UCUUCCUCCUCCUCUUCCCUUUUCCUCCCUCUCCAUCUCUUUACUGCUGAGUCUUAGCACCUAAGUAUUUGUUCCCAGCUUUCAGUGUCCUUGAGAUAGCAGUUUGAUCACGCUCCCAGAGGCCUUUCCACUCCUCUGUCUUAGACCCAAAUCCUUGCUGCAUGUUCCCAUAACACUCUCAUUGUUUCCUAACUGCCAACAUUUCGUAUUGUAGCUCCAGGCUCAACACCCCUGUCACUGGAUGCUUCCUGAAGGUAGGAAAUGUUUCUGGUGUUCAUAGCAGCCAGUACCACUAUGAACCUACUGCCAGCCAUGUCUAAUGCCUGGUGAAUCCCAAAGAGUCAACCUCUAAUUGUUGAAGGAUGGAUGAGGGAAUGAAAGGCACUUUUUUAGUGAAUACCUGGAAGACGAUGAAAGUCCAGGGCUAGAUUAAGGAAACACUUCCUCGGGGUAACAUUGUGAAUUCCCAGAACAAGUGACUAACCUCCAUUCACUUUGGAAAACAUUUAUUCCAUACUCCAGAGCCAGGC
rnacentral:lncRNA from 1 species